rnacentral:rRNA from 1 species
UGAGGAAUAUUGGUCAAUGGGCGAGAGCCUGAACCAGCCAAGUAGCGUGCAGGACGACGGCCCUAUGGGUUGUAAACUGCUUUUAUGCGGGGAUAAAGUGCGCGACGUGUCGGGCAUUGCAGGUACCGCAUGAAUAAGGACCGGCUAAUUCCGUGCCAGCAGCCGCGGUAAUACGGAAGGUCCGGGCGUUAUCCGGAUUUAUUGGGUUUAAAGGGAGCGUAGGCCGCCAGAUAAGCGUGUUGUGAAAUGUACCGGCUCAACCGGUGAAUUGCAGCGCGAACUGUUUGGCUUGAGUGCACGGUAAGCAGGCGGAAUUCAUGGUGUAGCGGUGAAAUGCUUAGAUAUCAUGACGAACUCCGAUUGCGCAGGCAGCUUACUGUAGCAUAACUGACGCUGAUGCUCGAAAGUGCGGGUAUCAAACAGG